GUGAGGAAUAUUGGUCAAUGGGCGGGAGCCUGAACCAGCCAAGUCGCGUGAAGGAAGAAGGAUCUAUGGUUCGUAAACUUCUUUUGCAGGGGAAUAAAGUGCAGGACGUGUCCUGUUUUGUAUGUACCCUGAGAAUAAGGAUCGGCUAACUCCGUGCCAGCAGCCGCGGUAAUACGGAGGAUCCGAGCGUUAUCCGGAUUUAUUGGGUUGAAAGGGUGCGUAGGUGGUUUGAUGAGUCAGCGGUGAAAGUUUGCAGCUUAACUGUAAAAAUGCCGUUGAAACUGUCGGACUUGAGUGUAAAUGAGGUAGGCGGAAUGCGUGGUGUAGCGGUGAAAUGCAUAGAUAUCACGCAGAACUCCGAUUGCGAAGGCAGCUUACUAAGCUACAACUGACACUGAAGCGCGAAAGCGUGGGGAUCAAACAGGAUUAGAAACCCUAGUAGUCC
rnacentral:rRNA from 1 species